rnacentral:misc_RNA from 1 species
UCAUAAUAAUAAUAAUAAUAAUAUAAUACGCCGGAACUAUAUGUUUUCAGCUAACUAGCAUUACACCAUUAAUUUUCCAAUAAUGCAAUUGCACAUGCCUUCAACUAAGGUACACCAACAAAAUGAAUCAUAUUCUGUAACCUCUGUAACGUUAAUUAAGCCUUAGGUUUCUGUGUUCUCCAAAGUUGACCCAGCGGUUUGGUACCAUUUCACUCUCAGAACUGUAACUACCAUUGGUCCCCAAGAUGGGAAGUGUAAAAUGGUUUGCUUUGGUAUCAUUAAUACGAAAACUAAUAUUCCAACUUCCCUGUUUAACUUCUUUCUAAAUAUAAAAAUUUUAUUUUUGAAAAUCCUUAAUCCUGAGAUGAUUAUUUUCGAAAUUUCAUCCUCUAAAAUUCUUGUUAGAAGAUAGUAACAUAUAUAAUUAUGGUUUUACCAAGGAAUUAUAAAACAAUAAUAAGAUAGCAGUAGGAAUGUGCGAACAUUGUUGAGUUGUCGCAUAACAAUUGGCACCAGCCAGCAAGGGUUGGUGAUGAAAAAAAAUUGUACUUUACUCUUUUAAGUGAGACAAAAUAUCAAGAAAUGGACAUUCUUAAUUUAUUCACCAUUGUUUACUAGUAUUUUCAAUAUGCA